AGAUACAAGCUGUGUCAUAAAAGUUAAAAUUUGAAUUUAUCUUUUUAGUUAAAAGACUAAAAUAAAAUUAAAAGACGAGAAGACCCUAUAGAGCUUUAUAUAAUUAAUAUUUAAAUUAUUAAGAUUUUUUAAAUUAAAAUAUUAUUUUAUAUUUUGUUGGGGUGACAAUAAAAUUUAUAAAACUUUUAUUUUUAUUACACAUUAAUUUAUGAAUAAAUGAUCCAGUUUUAUUGAUUAUAAAUUUAAGUUACCUUAGGGAUAACAGCGUAAUUUUUUUUGAGAGUUCUUAUCGACAAAAAAGAUUGCGACCUCGAUGUUGGAUUAAGAGUAAUUUUGGGUGUAGAAGUUCAAAGUUUAAGUCUG
rnacentral:rRNA from 1 species